AUUGAGCGCUGGCGGCAUGCCUUACACAUGCAAGUCGAACGGCAGCACGGGUGCUUGCACCUGGUGGCGAGUGGCGAACGGGUGAGUAAUAUAUCGGAACGUACCUUAUUGUGGGGGAUAACGCAGCGAAAGCUGUGCUAAUACCGCAUAAUCCCUAAGGGGGAAAGCGGGGGGCCGUAAGGCCUCGCGCAAUUAGAGCGGCCGAUACCUGAUUAGCUAGUUGGUGAGGUAAAGGCUCACCAAGGCAACGAUCAGUAGCUGGUCUGAGAGGACGAUCAGCCACACUGGGACUGAGACACGGCCCAGACUCCUACGGGAGGCAGCAGUGGGGAAUUUUGGACAAUGGGGGCAACCCUGAUCCAGCAAUGCCGCGUGAGUGAAGAAGGCCUUCGGGUUGUAAGGCUCUUUUGUCAGGGAAGGAACAGCAGCUCUAACACAGUUUGCGAAUGACGGUACCUGAAGAAUAAGCACCGGCUAACUACGUGCCAGCAGCCGCAGUAA
rnacentral:rRNA from 1 species